UUUUUGAAAACCUCACUUUUUCAAAAAACCCAGUUUCAAAUAGUUAAACCAAACUCACCCUAAAGUUUACAAUUUUAAUUUGCCUGAGUUUGCUGGAAGACAUUAUUGGAUAGAUGGUUACUUGCUAUAGGAAUCGACUUACAGCUCAACCUCUUCAACCUCACACUACUCUUCAAAUGGUUGUUUUGUCAAAGGGUCCUUGAACUCAACAACUAAUGAAUGCAAUCUUGAUAUGCAUAAUCGAGCCCAAAUCUUUUGUCUUGUAUAUUGUGCUUCAUUCCAUACUCCACUAAUAGGAACACCACACCACUUCUUUCAUUUUAUUUUUUCCAUAUGAAACUAACUAGAUGUUGCUUAAUGUUAAACAUUCAUGCUUCCAUCAAUCUUUGCACCCAAUGGAUGAAGCUUCAGAUUUUGGGGUUUGUGGUGGGUAACACAUUAAUAGUUUUCUCUGGGCUGUGGGUGAGUAAAGAGGGUUUGUGGAGACACGGACUGUGAAGCUGGAGGUAGGGGAGGGAGUAGGCGUCAACCUCUUAUUCUGGGCUUGUUAUAUACAUUAUAUGUUUGAUAAAAAUGUAUAUAAUUUGUGCCUAUUAAUAUUUAUAAGUUCUCAAACA